rnacentral:rRNA from 1 species
AUUGAACGCUGGCGGCAGGCCUAACACAUGCAAGUCGAGCGAGCGGCGGACGGGUGAGUAAUGUCUGGGAAACUGCCUGAUGGAGGGGGAUAACUACUGGAAACGGUAGCUAAUACCGCAUACCAUCAGAUGUGCCCAGAUGGGAUUAGCUAGUAGGUGGGGUAAUGGCUCACCUAGGCGACGAUCCCUAGCUGGUCUGAGAGGAUGACCAGCCACACUGGAACUGAGACACGGUCCAGACUCCUACGGGAGGCAGCAGUGGGGAAUAUUGCACAAUGGGCGCAAGCCUGAUGCAGCCAUGCCGCGUGUAUGAAGAAGGCCUUCGGGUUGUAAAGUACUUUCAGCGGGGAGGCGUUACCCGCAGAAGAAGCACCGGCUAACUCCGUGCCAGCAGCCGCGGUAAUAC